GUCUCCGUAGCUCAACUGGAUAGAGCACCCGCCUUCUAAGCGGGGGGUUGCGUGUUCGAGUCACGCCGGAGGCGCCA
rnacentral:tRNA from 1 species